GGGCUUGCUUCGGCAGCACAUAUACUAAAUUGGAAACAUACGGAGAUCAGCAUGGCCCCUGCACAAGGAUGGCAUGUGAAUUUGUGAAGUGUUCCAUAUUUUU
ensembl:snRNA U6 U6 spliceosomal RNA